GGAUGUGAGGGCGAUCUGGUUGCAACAUUUUUCACCCAUUGAUCGCCAGGGUUGAUUCGGCUGAUCUGGCUGGUUAGGAGGGUGUCCCCUUCCUCCCUCACCGCUCCGUGUGCGUCCCUCCCGAAGCCAUGUGCUGGGUCGAAGAGGACCACUUUUCCUGAAUAGAGGAGGAUCCCCGUCUUUGGUCAAUGGUGUAUGAGUAGCUGUGCUCCCCUGCUAGAACCUCCAAAUAAGCUCUCAUUUAUUUUCAAGGAGAGAGAGAGAGAGAGAGAGAGAGAGA
rnacentral:snRNA from 1 species